UACGGGGGGGCGGAAGUGUUGUUCGGAAUUACUGGGCGUAAAGGGCGCGUAGGCGGCCAUCUAAGUCAGACGUGAAAUCCCUCGGCUCAACCGAGGAACUGCGUCUGAUACUGGAAGGCUUGAAUCCGGGAGAGGGAUGUGGAAUUCCGAGGUGUAGCGGUGAAAUGCGUAGAUAUCGUGGAGGAACACCGGUGGCGAAGGCGGCAUCCUGGACCGGUA
rnacentral:rRNA from 1 species